UGAGCUCAGUCCCGUUUGAAUGCAUUGAAGGGCCAAAUAUUAUGACAAAGGAUGCACAGCAAUAUAUGUUGUAUGGGGAUGUGGGGCCGUCUCAACAUCUGGUUAUGGGAUGUUUUUGUGGCCAAAAAAUUAUCAAAUGUUGCGUAUAUGGACAAAACAAGUGCGUCGUAUGAGGCGGACUUUUACUGGACCAGGUAACACGGGGUCGAUGAAACCGACGAUGUGUGGGCAGCACAUCGAGAGAUCGUGUUUCGAACAAUCAACAAUGCCCGCUAAGGAGAGAGAGUAAAAGCUUUCUCGAAGGCUUUGCAUUUGAACUCCUAUGACUGGUUACGGACUUGAAGGGAACGUCUUCCUGACAUCCAGGAAAAUGUAGAAAUCUACUGGAACCUAACACCAGAGAGAGGGAGGAGAUGAUAUGCAGCAAAAGGCCCAGCCGGAUGGUUGCUGCUCCGUGUGGAACGUGUUCUAUCAGAAAGGAUCAUGCCAGCCCACAUCAAACACCUGAUCAAGAACUUGUGAAUCUUCAGGCAGAAAAGAUGAAAACACCUGUUCCAGUUUCCUGUACAUGGAACCAUGCCAGUCCUCUGUUCCACAUGUCUUCAGUCAGUCCUGGGGCCUGUACUACAAAGCAGGAUUUUCGCUUAGCCGGCUAACUUCAGGGAAAACUCCGGCUUUCCGGGCUUACGAAGCUGGUUCUCUUUUUAGCGGGCUAGAUCUCCAUGGUAACUGAUGCUGAGCGGCUGAGCGGCUAGCCUGCUCCGGAGCAGGUUAGGUUGCAGGAUAAGAGCUCAACUCAGUGAAAGCACCGCCUGCUGACCAAUCAGAGCU